rnacentral:rRNA from 1 species
CAGAGGUGGCAAGCGUUGUUCGGAAUUACUGGGCGUAAAGGGCGCGUAGGUGGCCCUGUCAGUCAGACGUGAAAUCCCCAGGCUUAACUUGGGAACUGCGUCUGAUACUACAGGGCUUGAGUUCGGGAGAGGGAUGUGGAAUUCCAGGUGUAGCGGUGAAAUGCGUAGAUAUCUGGAGGAACACCGGUGGCGAAGGCGGCAUCCUGGACCGAAACUGACACUGAGGCGCGAAAGCCAGGGGAGCAAACGGGAUUAGAUACCCCGGUAGUCCUGGCCCUAAACGAUGAGUGCUUGGUGUGGCGGGUAUCGAUCCCUGCCGUGCCGAAGCUAACGCAUUAAGCACUCCGCCUGGGGAGUACGGUCGCAAGGCUG